CAAGCUCCAGUGUCUAUGUGUGUGUUUGUAUGCGUCUGUGUGUGUGAGAGGGAGAGAAACAGAGUGAGAGAGAAUGGAGGGAGAAAGAGGGAGGAGAGACAAAGAGUUAGAGUGUGUGUGGAAGAGAGAGAAAAAGAGAGAGGGGGAGAGAGAGAGAGAGAGAGAGAGAGAGAGAGAGAGAGAGAGAGAGAGAGAGAGAGAGAGAGAGAGAGAGAGAGAGAGAGAGAGAGAGAGAGAGAGAGAGAGAAAGAGAUUGGGGGAUUUGUAAGGCAUUUAUAUUUGCUAACUACUGGCUGAAUUUACAUUGGAACAGGUAGAAGAUCAGCUAGACAGCAUUUGUUAGCGUGUGUGAUUGUGUGAAUGUGUUUUAGUAUAUGUGUUUGUGUGUGUGGGACAGAGACAGAGAGAGAGAGAGAGAGAGAGAGAGAGAGAGAGAGAGAGGGAGGGAGGGAGGAAGAGAGGGAGGGAGGAGAACCCGUUCCCCUUAGUUCCACACGAAUCUCGUUCCUAGCAAUAGCCUGGGGACGAGGUUAGUUCCACACUAACGCUUCAAUGUGUGCACUUGAGGGAAGUUAUGGAAGCUUUUUUCCUUUCUUUUCCCACCUAAACAGUCUUCAACAUUCUGCAAUAAUAUUGACGAGACAAGAAGAGAACUGAAUAACUUUCCACUAUUAUUUAGGUGACUGGGAUGUGUGAGGAGGAGAGGUGUGUGAGGCGGAGAGGAGCGUGAGGAGGAGAGGAGUGUGAGGAUGGAAGUUGCUGGGGGAGAGAGGAGCGCUGCUCUGGGCUCAGUGAGAGGUGAGAGUCUUGUUCGCAGCAGCAGAAGAGGAAGAUGAUAAUAGAAUUCACCACAGCUGCAGGAACGACUAUUUCGGGAAACCUAACACCAUGACUCUCCACUCCUCUCCUGCUGGCACCCUAUCAACACCAGCAUGGGUGAUAACAAACUGGGCAUCCACAUUGUAAUGAGCAGCCUUCUUUAAAUCUGCUGGGCUGGGAACAGCAGCCUAUAUUAUGGGGUGUAGUGGUUGCUGAUCUAAGGACAUGAGAGUGACAACUAAAGGAUGACAACUUUCUGCUGGUGCCCUCGGUAAACAUUCAACGCUGUCGGUGAGUUUGAGCAUCUGUCCAAAACCAUCGACCGUUAAAUGUACCCUGUGGGCCACCGUUAAAGAGACACCCUGCAAGAAGAGAGAUGAAUACUUUCUCUAAUUCUUCCCUGCUCCCCUGGUGAACAGAAUCUUCAGUUACUUCCCAUACUGGACUAGUUAAGAGGCCCAACUCUUAAGGCUGCAAUAAACAUUCAUUGCUGUCGGUGGGUUUACAUGAGAACAACUCACUGAUCAAUGAAUGCAGACUGCGGUACAAACACCUCAAGGCCUUUAUUUCAGCAGAGAGUGAUGGAAUAGAGCGGAUGACAUGUAUCGUGCCUUCAAAAAGUACUACCCCUUGAUUUACUCCAUAUUUUGUUGUGUUACAGCCCGAAAUCAAAAUGUAUUAAAUUAUUUUUUAUUCUCAUCCAUUUACACACAAUACCCCAUAAUGACAAAGUGAAAACAUAUUUUUAGAAAUGUUUGCACAUUUAUUGAACAUGAAAUUCAGAAAUAUCUUUGGCAGCAAUUACAGCUGUGAGUCUUUGUGGGUAAGUCUCUAAGAGCUUUCCACACCUGGAUUGUGCAACAUCUGCCCAUUUUCAAAAUUCUUCAAGCUCUGUCAAAUUGGUUGUUGAUCAUUGCUAGACACCCAUUUUCAGGUCUUGCCAUAGAUUUUAAAGAAGAUUUAAGUCAAAACUGUAACUCAGACACUAAGGAGAAUUCACUGUCUUCUUGGUAAGCAACUCCAGAGUAGAUUUAGCCUUGUGUUUUAGGUUAUUGUCCUGCUGAAAGGUGAAUUCAUCUCCCAGUGGCUGGUGGAAAGCAGACUGAACCAGGUUUUCUUCUAGGAUUUUGGCUGUGCUUAGCUUUUAAUGAACAAUUACAAGCCACCACUAUGCUUGAAAAUAUGGAGAGUUGUACUCAGUAAUGUGUGGUAUUGGAUUUGCCACAAACAUAAAAUGUUGUAUUCAGGACAAAAAGUAAAUUGCUUUGCCACAUAUUUUUGCAGUAUUACUUCAGUGCCUUGUUGCAAACAGGAUGCAUGAUUUGGAAUAAUUUUUAUUCUGUACAGGCUUCCUUCUUUUCACUCUGUCAAUUAGGUUAGUAUUGUGGAGUAACUACAUUGUUGUUGAUCCAUCUUCAGUUUUCUACUAUCACAGCCAUUAAACUCUGUAACUGUUUUCAAGUCACCAUUUAUAGAAUAACUAUGUUCAAAGUAAUGAGUCGGGACAUCGGUUAUAAGAUGAACGCUUAUUUUUAGUAAUAAUACUUGUUCACAUUGCAUUUUACCACUUUAGAUUCUACAAAAUAAUAAAAUAAAGUUUGCUAGCAAAAGCCAGGAUAAUCCCUUCUCACAUAACUGGAGCGUUCUCGUUCGUUUGUUCUUACUUCCUGUCGCAAGGCAUUCUGGUACUUGCAGUCAAUAGCGUAAUCCAAUACUAACCAAUACAACAGAAAUAUGUGCAUUGUUCUCUCAAUCUCCAUCACAUGAAUUAUAAUACAAUUACUAUUGUACACAUGUAAAUAACUAUAAAAGAAAAUAUAUUUAGAUACAUCAGUGAAAUUACUUUAAACAUUAACUCUGUAACCCGUUAAAGUUAAUACACGACUGAGGGACCUUAAAGAUAAUUGUGUGUUGGGCACAGAGAUGAGGUAGUCAUUCAAAAAUAAUGUUAACCACUAUUAUUGCACACAGAGUGAGAUCAUGCAACUUAUUUUAUGACUUGUUAAGCACAUUUUUCUUGUUCUUGUUUGGUGGGGGAGCUCAUUAAAAUAAUAGCCAGUGUUUAGAAUAAUACAAAGGAGGAUAUGGUAUAUUUCUACCGUUGUGUACCUAUUUAGGGUACACCACCAUGAAGAGAAUGACAUUCAUAUCCAUAAUUAUGCAUUUUUGUGUAGUACAGAUCAGGGACCCAUGAUGAAAUUCCGUUACCGCAAUGCUGUUACUGGGUGUAAAUCCACUUCACUUACUGUAGUUCAAUAACAAAACAAGUGUUUUCAAACUCAAGGUGUCAUGUCAUCGCUGACUUCCCAUUCUUUCUGCAGACAUCUUUAAAACUGAGUUUAACAUAAAAAACUGAGGGAGAUUUUACUGGAAUUCUGUUACCAACCUUUUUAUCUGCACAAUUCUUCCAGUAAGGGCUGACCCCAUUUAGUCGACUGGUCGAUUGUUUGGUCGAUAGGUUGUUGGUCAACCGAGAUUUCUUUAGUCAAGCAGUGGGGGAAAAAAUAUAGUAAUCAUGGUGUAUAAGACACGUCUGAGUGGACUGAUCCAUUGUGGAGGCCGUGGGGAUGGCACAGUCCAUCACUCUAAGACAUGUGCUACUGAAAUUGUAUAUGGUUAUAUUACAUAAGAAGGAAUGGUGCAACACUAAUAAAAAAAUAUAUAUUUCAUAGCAAAUGCACUUUCUCCCGCAUUGGAUAGCGGUCGAUGUCCUCGGUUCUGAAACAUCAGUGCGCUGUCGAAUUGGCGCCUUUUCCUAGACCGUGUUGCUAUGUGCAUAAUAGCAAAGUUACCCAGCAUAUGUGUGUUGAGAACAAUGCAGUGGAGGCAGCAGAGGAGUUAGGAGAUAAGAAAACAGCCCUUGCCUUAAUUGUCUAAGAAAAGUGAGGAGAGAGGAAAAUCCAACUUAAUUAGGUCUAUGAAUCAACAUCCUAACUGUUAAGUGACUAUUACAAAUCCAGUCUUGUUCCUUAUAUUUCUGCCUUAAAUACACUGCCUUCUUCUCUCAUCAUUAACAUAUUAUUGUUAUUGUUGCAUUCCAGGAUGUAUGCAAUAGGCAUGCCCCUUUUAAAAAAUUCAGGAUUAAAGGCAGAGAGAACCCUUGGUUUACUAAGGAACUUACAAAAAUCAUAAGGGAACGAAAUGCUAUGUGGGCUAAAGCAAGAGGGACUGGUUUGGAUGGCUUUUUUAACAUCUUCGAAAUAUGGGUGUGGCUAUGAUCCGUAAAUUGAAAGCAGACCACUACCUGAAAUCUACUUCACAAAAUGUAAAUAAUCCAUCCAAAUUUUGGCAAGUAGUGAAGGGUUUGUAGUGCAAAAAAGAUACACAGCUUCCCAAACAAUUGUUGGUCGAUACACAGAUUGUAACUGAGAGAACCGCCAUUCUGAAAGCCUUGAAUACGCAUUUUUUUAGAUGCAGGCAGUUUAUUUGAAAAGGUCAAAGGUAUAAUUGAGCCCCCUAUGAAUUUACCUGACACCCCUGUGCACUACGUCACCAGGUUCUCCUUUUCAUCCUUCUCUGUUUCAGAAGUGUGUAAAGCCCUGAAAGAAAUUGAUUUUUAAAAAUCCCCUGGUAGGCUGGUCCUGAUGAACUAGACCCCGCCUAAAGGUCUACUUCCAAGAAAACAACAUCUUAAAUUGAAUACAAUCAGGUUUUAGGUCUGGCCACAGCACUGUUUCAGCAACAUUGAAGGUUUUAAAUGACAUCCACUGUGCUCUUGAUAAGAAGUUACAUUGUGUGUCUGUUUUUAUUGAUUUGUCAAAGGAUUUUGACACCGUGGACCAUGCUGUGUUAGUGCAAAGGUUGAAAUGUUGUGGAAUUACUGGUCAUGCUCUAGAUUGGUUUAUAAAUUACCUAUCAAAUCGUACACAAUGUGUAAUGGCGGAUGGUUGUAAAUCUGAGUCCAUAGACGUGUGCUCAGGUGUUCCGCAAGGUUCUAUUUUGGGCCCACUGUUGUUCAUUUUGUAUAUCAACAACAUUGGGGAUCUUGUUGAAACAGCGGAUGUUCAUUUUUAUGCAGAUGAUACUGUUCUUUAUUCAAGUGGUAGUAGUUUAUCUUUAGCUUUUGAAAAUGCCCAAAGAGCAUUUAACAUCAUACAACAGAAUCUGUAUGAUUUAAAGCUGAUUCUACAUUCGGGUAAAACAAAAUGCAUGGUAUUUUCAAAUGCCAGGCAUGUUACAAAUCAUGUUAUUUGCAACAUUGGCUGGACAUACUAUAGAGCAAGUUAAAGUGUACAAAUAUUUAGGUGUGUGGGUUGAUGAUAAGCUGAGCUUCACUGUGCAUGUAGAGAACUUGAUAAGGAAGCUCAAGCUGAAAAUAGGAUUUUAUUACCGGCAUAAGGCUUGUUUUUCUUUUGAGGCCAGGAAGGAGCUGGUACGAUGUACAUUACUGUCGGUUUAAGAUUUUAGUGAUGUUAUACAUAUGCAGGCCUCAGCCACUACCCUGAGAGCACUUGAUUCAGUGUAUCAUGCAGUCCUCAGGUUCAUUUCAAAUCAGAAACUUCUAACACAUCAUUGUGAUCUCUACAGCGCUGUUGGCUGGUCGUCAUUGACCUUGCGUAGGCUUGAACACUGGUAUACACUGAUUUAUAAGGCCAUAUUGGGUAAAAUGCCAUUUUAUCUCUGUUCUUUUUUCGUCAGGUCAGUAAAUAAAUAUAAUUUUACGGUCCCAUUCUGAUUUGCUUCUAACAUUACCAAAAAUUAGAACAGGACAUGGUAGAAAUAGUUUUAGUUACUUAGCUCCGUGGUCCUGGAAUUCUGUCAUGAACAUUUUAAAAUGUGAUGAUCUAGUUUCGUUGGUGGAGUUUAAACACUUGAUCGAUGUAUAUAUCAUAGAAGAGUGUAAUUGUUUUUAGGCCAGCUGUUUUUAGUCAAGACGUUUGUGUUUUUAAUGUAAAAUGUUUUUCUUGUACUGUAUGUGUGUUUAUAGUUUUGUUAAAUGUUGUGUUAGUAAGUGUGUUAGUUAGGUAAGUUGUUUUGUCUGAAACGUUGUUCCCUCUGCUGCUAUUGGACCAGGUCUCUCUUGGAAAAGAGAUGUUAUCUCAAUGAGAAAAAACCUGUAUAAAUAAAGGUAAAAUAAAUAAGAUAAAAAAUAAUAAAUGUGCCUGGAUAUAUAGCCUACUUUAAUAGCCUACUGAUUCCAUGAGCACCAAGCCUCACGCAACCACAAUAUGUCGGAUAAACGAUUUCACAAAUUUGUCUGUUUAUAAUCUUUGCUAUGAUGUAAUAAAGGCUUAAAAAUUGUCAUUAGAA